rnacentral:rRNA from 1 species
AUUGAACGCUGGCGGCAGGCCUAACACAUGCAAGUCGAGCGGAUGAAGGGAGCUUGCUCCUGGAUUCAGCGGCGGACGGGUGAGUAAUGCCUAGGAAUCUGCCUGGUAGUGGGGGAUAACGUCCGGAAACGGGCGCUAAUACCGCAUACGUCCUGAGGGAGAAAGUGGGGGAUCUUCGGACCUCACGCUAUCAGAUGAGCCUAGGUCGGAUUAGCUAGUUGGUGGGGUAAAGGCCUACCAAGGCGACGAUCCGUAACUGGUCUGAGAGGAUGAUCAGUCACACGGGAACUGAGACACGGUCCAGACUACUACGGGAGGCAGCAGUGGGGAAUAUUGGGCAAUGGGCGAAAGCCUGAUCCAGCCAUGCCGCGUGUGUGAAGAAGGUCUUCGGAUUGUAAAGCACUUUAAGUUGGGAGGAAGGGCAGUAAGUUAAUACCUUGCUGUUUUGACGGUACCAACAGAAUAAGCACCGGCUAACUACGUG